GAUACCCUAUUAUACUAAAAAGUAAAUAUUGAAUAACUGAUUAUUAAUAGUUAUAUUCUUUAAAUUUGAAGAAUUUGGCGGUAGUUUAGUCUUGUCAGAGGAACCUGUUUUUUAAACGAUAAACCACGUAAAAUCUUACUUGUCGUAGUUUUCAGUUUGUAUACCAUCAUUAACAGAUAAUUUUUAAAGAAGUAAUUAUUGUCAAUAAUAAAUUAGUAAAAUUAGAUCAAGGUGCAGCUUAUAGAUAAGUUAAAAUGGGUUACAAUAAAUUUUAUUUAUUUAUGGAUAAAAAAAUGAAUAUUUUUUUUUUAAAGAGGAUUUGAUUGUAAUUAAAGUUUAAUAUGCUUUAAUGGUAUUAGCUCUAAAUUAUGUACAU
rnacentral:rRNA from 1 species